AGCUCCAAUAGCGUAUAUUAAAGUUGUUGCAGUUAAAGCGUCCGUAGUUGAAUAUCGUGGACCAGAAAGUACGUGUCAUAGGUUUUAGGAUCAUUGACAUAGGCUUUGGGGUCUGCUUGAAUGACGGUUACGCAACCGUAUUCUGUUACUUUGAGCAAAUUGAAGUGUUUCAAUCAGGUUUUCGCUCAUACAGCUCAGCAUGGGAUAACAAGAUAAGACUGUAGUCCUUCUUGUUGGUUAUAAGGAUUAUCAGUAAUGGUUAAUAGGAAUGUACGGGGACAUUUGUACUCACUGGAGAGAGGUGAAAUUCUAAGACCCAGUGAAGACAAACAACUGCGGAGGCAUUUGUCCAGUGCAUCUUCU
rnacentral:rRNA from 1 species